ACAAUGAAGAGUUUGAUCCUGGCUCAGGAUGAACGCUAGCUACAGGCUUAACACAUGCAAGUCGAGGGGCAUCAGGAAGAAAGCUUGCUUUCUUUGCUGGCGACCGGCGCACGGGUGAGUAACACGUAUCCAACCUGCCCUUUACUCGGGGAUAGCCUUUCGAAAGAAAGAUUAAUACCCGAUGGCAUAAUGAUUCCGCAUGGUUUCAUUAUUAAAGGAUUCCGGUAAAGGAUGGGGAUGCGUUCCAUUAGGUUGUUGGUGAGGUAACGGCUCAC
rnacentral:rRNA from 1 species